UACGGAGGGUGCGAGCGUUGUUCGGAAUUAUUGGGCGUAAAGCGCGUGUAGGCGGUUACUUAAGUCUGAUGUGAAAGCCCUGGGCUCAACCCAGGAAGUGCAUUUGAAACUGCCUUACUCGAGUAUGGGAGAGGAGAGUGGAAUUCCUGGUGUAGAGGUGAAAUUCGUAGAUAUCAGGAGGAACACCGGUGGCGAAGGCGGCUUCCUGGACCGAUACUGACGCUGAGACGCGAAAGCGUGGGUAGCAAACAGG
rnacentral:rRNA from 1 species